UACUUUGCGCUAUGCAUGACUUAACUCUCACGUUAGGGGCUCAAACAUGACUUAAAAAAGGGCAUGUUGACCGAUAGCUAUGUAGAAAGCCUAAUUUGAUGACAAUUAUUUAACUUCGAAGGUGCUAGAGCUUGACUCCUAUUCAUAUGAAACAUUUACCUGGAGAGUAAAAUUGGAAUAGGAAGAUUUUUGGAAGCAAAGAUACAUUUGGAAAGCGACAUAACACUAAGACAACCACAUCUUUACAAACUACGAUGUGACAACCACAUUUCUAUUACAAACUACGAUGUACUCUAAGGUUACGUUCUCAUGUGAUCAUGUCAGCAUCUGUAACUUAAUUACCUAAACUUGAAAAGGACAAAAAUACAUCACUGAUUACACAUAAAUGGCCAAGCACAAUUUUCCACAUAUACAAUUUUCCACGUAUACAACCACACAGUUUACACAUGACUUCAUUACUUAGAUCUUUCUUGCAAGCAAAGACAGAGAGAGAAGGGAAAGAAAAACCCCAAGCCAUGUCACCAAUGACUAAGCCCUUGUUCUCUUACCUCCAAACUCCCAACUUUAACACUAUGCAAAAAGAAGAUUCCCCAUCACAUCAAACUUGCGGUACAUGCAUGGAGUACUAAAUGUAGACGAAAUCAAAAACUAUUUGCACAAUUUUGUUGUACUUUGCGAGACGAAUCUUUUGAGCCUAAUUAGUCAAUAUUUGGACAAUAAUUCACAAAUACAAACGAAACGCUACAGUUGAUCUACAGUAAUUUAGCACCUCCCAAAUUCGCGAAGUAAACAAGGGCUAAUGUUGGGACCAGAGUAUGAUGUGAGAAUGAUGUGCACCUUCAACCCUUUCCCAACAUCAAAAAUUUCCAUCUCACUACCCUACUCCACAUCACCUCCUUGCUGGCCUGGGC
rnacentral:lncRNA from 1 species